rnacentral:rRNA from 1 species
GACGAACGCUGGCGGCGUGCCUAAUACAUGCAAGUCGAGCGAACAGACGAGGAGCUUGCUCCUCUGACGAUAGCGGCGGACGGGUGAGUAACACGUGGAUAACCUACCUAUAAGACUGGGAUAACUUCGGGAAACCGGAGCUAAUACCGGAUAAUAUAUUGAUCCGUAUGGUUCAAUAGUGAAAGACGGUUUUGCUGUCACUUAUAGAUGGAUCCGCGCCGCAUUAGCUAGUUGGUAAGGUAACGGCUUACCAAGGCAACGAUUCGUAGCCGACCUGAGAGGGUGAUCGCCCACACGGGAACUGGGACACGGUCCAGACUCCUACGGGAGGCAGCAGUAGGGAAUCUUCCGCAAUGGGCGAAAGCCUGACGGAGCAACGCCGCGUGAGUGAUGAAGGUCUUCGGAUCGUAAAACUCUGUUAUUAGGGAAGAACAAAUGUGUAAGUAACUAUGCACGUCGUGACGGUACCUGAUCAGAAAGCCACGGCUAACUACGUG